GUGGGGAAUAUUGGGCAAUGGGCGAAAGCCUGACCCAGCAACGCCGCGUGAAGGAAGAAGGUCUUCGGAUCGUAAACUUCUAUCCUUGGUGAAGAUAAUGACGGUAGCCGAGAAGGAAGCCCCGGCUAACUACGUGCCAGCAGCCGCGGUAAUACGUAGGGGGCAAGCGUUGUCCGGAAUGAUUGGGCGUAAAGGGCGCGUAGGCGGCCCGGUAAGUCUGAAGUGAAAGUCCUGCUUUUAAGGUGGGAAUUGCUUUGGAUACUGUCGGGCUUGAGUGCAGGAGAGGUAAGCGGAAUUCCCGGUGUAGCGGUGAAAUGCGUAGAGAUCGGGAGGAACACCAGUGGCGAAGGCGGCUUACUGGACUGUAACUGACGCUGAGGCGCGAAAGUGUGGGGAGCAAACAGGAUUAGAAACCCCUGUAGUCC
rnacentral:rRNA from 1 species